rnacentral:rRNA from 1 species
AGUGAACGCUGGCGGCAGGCCUAAUACAUGCAAGUCGAACGGCAGCACAGUGGAGCUUGCUCCAUGGGUGGCGAGUGGCGGACGGGUGAGGAAUACAUGGGAAUCUGCCCAGUCGUGGGGAUAACGUAUGGAAACGUACGCUAAUACCGCAUGCGCCCUUCGGGGGAAAGUCGGGGACCGCAAGGCCUGACGCGAUUGGAUGAGCCCAUGUUCGAUUAGCUAGUUGGCGGGUAACGGCCCACCAAGGCGACGAUCGAUAGCUGGUCUGAGAGGAUGAUCAGCCACUCUGGAACUGAGACACGGUCCAGACUCCUACGGGAGGCAGGCAGUAGGGAAUAUUGGACAAUGGGCGCAAGCCUGAUCCAGCCAUGCCGCGUCGAGUGAAGAAGGCCCU